UUUUAAAAAAAAAAUAGGUGAACCUUUCUUUUAGAGAGAAAAUAAUAACAGGAAUACACGCAAUAAAAAUGCAUUUGUAACACACUGGAAAUUAGACGUAAUAUUUCAUGACACAAAAGAGAGACUAACUGAAAUGCAGUUGCUGCACAUGAAGUGAAUGUGUGAAAUAGAAAUAACAGAAAUCUGUAAACAUCACAUGCAAGAAGUUACGUACUGCUGAUCCUUGAAAAAGUUUCUCAGAAAUAUUGAAAAAAAAACUCAAAACAUGCUUUGGUAAAGUUACAACAAAUUACACUUGAAAAUGCAGUUAAUACAUGGAAAUUCAAUCUUGCACUUCUAACCAAGAGCAUGAGAGCUGGGGCUCAAUUGGAGCUGGUAUAACUAUUAACUGAGAGGUUGCAGUAAAAUGGCAAAAAGAUCUAUCGAGUCUUACCGUUCUCCAUUGAAAUAUCAGAAGCAAGAACGAACGAAAAUGGAGGGACGAGGUUGAAGCUUCACGGCAGCAGUAAAAUGGCAAAAAGAUCUAUCGAGUCUUGCCGUUCUCCAUUGAAACAUCAGAAGCAAGAACGAACGUAAAUGGAGGGACUAUAAAUAGACAUAGCUAGAAGCUCAUUUCUUGACUAAUUUCAGAACGUCACCCACGAGAUGUAAAGACCCUGUCACCAAGACCUAGAUAAACAAGAGAAACAUUAACUAGUUUGCUAUAUACAGAGUCCGACAGUGCUUAAGGACACUACUACUUUACAACAACACAGAUUGACAAGAAGUUAAAUUUAUAGUAGACCAAGCAUAUAUU
rnacentral:lncRNA from 1 species